rnacentral:rRNA from 1 species
UACGUAGGGGGCAAGCGUUGUCCGGAAUCAUUGGGCGUAAAGAGCGCGUAGGCGGUCCGGUAAGUCCGCUGUGAAAGUCAAGGGCUCAACCCUUGAAUGCCGGUGGAUACUGUCGGGCUAGAGUCCGGAAGAGGCGAGUGGAACUCCUGGUGUAGCGGUGGAAUGCGCAGAUAUCAGGAAGAACACCAACGGCGAAGGCAGCUCGCUGGGACGGAACUGACGCUGAGGCGCGAAAGCUAGGGGAGCGAACAGG